GACGAACGCUGGCGGCGUGCUUAACACAUGCAAGUCGAACGGUGACCCUCGGAGCUUGCUUCGGGGUGAGCAGUGGCGAACGGGUGAGUAACACGUGAGUAACCUGCCCCUGACUCUGGAAUAAGCGCUGGAAACGGCGUCUAAUACCGGAUACGACACGCCUCCGCAUGGGGAGCGUGUGGAAAGUUUUUCGGUCUGGGAUGGACUCGCGGCCUAUCAGAUUGUUGGUGAGGUAAUGGCUCACCAAGGCGAUGACGGGUAGCCGGCCUGAGAGGGCGAACGGCCACACUGGGAAGGAGACACGGCACAGACUCCUACGGGAGGCAGCAGUGGGGAAUAUUGCACAAUGGGCGAAAGCCUGAUGCAGCGACGCCGCGUGAGGGAUGACGGCCUUCGGGUUGUAAACCUCUUUCAGCAGGGAAGAAGCGAAAGUGACGGUACCUGCAGAAGAAGCACCGGCUAACUACGUGCCAGCAGCCGCCGUAA
rnacentral:rRNA from 1 species